rnacentral:rRNA from 1 species
GUCGAACGCUGGCGGCGUGCUUAACACAUGCAAGUCGAACGGAAAGGCCCUGCUUUUGUGGGGUGCUCGAGUGGCGAACGGGUGAGUAACACGUGAGUAACCUGCCCUUGACUUUGGGAUAACUUCAGGAAACUGGUGCUAAUACCGGAUAGGAGCUCCUGCUGCAUGGUGGGGGUUGGAAAGAUUCGGCGGUUGGGGAUGGACUCGCGGCUUAUCAGCUUGUUGGUGGGGUAGUGGCUUACCAAGGCUUUGACGGGUAGCCGGCCUGAGAGGGUGACCGGCCACAUUGGGACUGAGAUACGGCCCAGACUCCUACGGGAGGCAGCAGUGGGGAAUAGUGCACAAUGGGCGGAAGCCUGAUGCAGCAACGCCGCGUGCGGGAUGACGGCCUUCGGGUUGUAAACCGCUUUCGCCUGUGACGAAGCGUGAGUGACGGUAAUGGGUAAAGAAGCACCGGCUAACUACGUG